UUUCCGUAGGUGAACCUGCGGAAGGAUCAUUCAUAAUAAGUGUUUUAUGGCACUUUUUUAAAUCCAUAUCCACCUUGUGUGCAAUGUCAGGGUUGAUUUUUCUCUCGAGAGGAUCAGCCCCAAACAUCAACUAUAUCUCAACUCUUUGUCUGAAAAAUAUUAUGAAUAAAACAAUUCAAAUACAACUUUCAACAACGGAUCUCUUGGCUCUC
rnacentral:misc_RNA from 1 species